AAACGUCAUCUACGGUGUAGGACCACAUUUUCCCACCUUAGAAACCACCCAAACAUGAGGGUGUUUAAACUUUAACACACACUGUUAAACCCCCUCAUUUUUGGGUGGUUUCUAUGGUAACCGGUGAGGUUAUUAGAGCGCAAUGCAGUCGCGACAACUCACUGUCUCUGUUCUCAUUCAAGCUCCUGAGUUUGGAGACCAGUUGGUCUUCUGAGGUAAAGGAGCAGAUCUGGAGGGAACAUGGAUA